ACGCUCGACACCUACGGGGGCAGCGGUGGGGAAUAUUGCACAAUGGGGGAAACCCUGAUGCAGCGACGCCGCGUGAGUGAAGAAGUAUUUCGGUAUGUAAAGCUCUAUCAGCAGGGAAGAAGAUGACGGUACCUGAGUAAGAAGCCCCGGCUAACUACGUGCCAGCAGCCGUGGUAAUCUGAGCGGGCUGGCAAGGC
rnacentral:rRNA from 1 species